rnacentral:rRNA from 1 species
CCUACGGGUGGCAGCAGUGGGGAAUAUUGCGCAAUGGGCGAAAGCCUGACGCAGCGACGCCGCGUGAGGGAUGAAGGUCCUCGGAUCGUAAACCUCUGUCAGCAGGGAAGAACGGUCACUGUGCUAAUCAGCAGUGAAUUGACGGUACCAGCAAAGGACGCACCGGCUAACACCGUGCCAGCAGCCGCGGUAAUACGGAGGGUGCGAGCGUUGAUCGGAAUUACUGGGCGUAAAGGGCGGGUAGGCGGUAUGUCAAAUCAAGGGUGAAAUCCCCGCGCUCAACGUGGGAACUGCCUUUGAAACCGGCAGACUUGAGUGUGUGAGAGGAUAGUGGAAUUCCAGGUGUAGGAGUGAAAUCCGUAGAUA